GUUGGACUUGAGUGAGUGUUGUCCCACACCGUUUUGUUAAGCAGCCGCUUACCCCUUGUUGGGGAUUCUGCUUCUUUCCCUUCCCUGCAGUCUCUUGGUGGGAAUUUAGGUUCCGGUUCGUGGAAAAUAGUCUUGGCCUGGAUUUCAGGGCCCCAGGCACCUCGCACUGAGCUCUCCAGGAAUGAAAAAGCAUAAUGUUUUCCAUGGUGAUACGAUGUCUCCUGUUCCUCACACGAAACCUCAUGAAAGCCCCAAACUGGGCUGGUCUUCAGUGUCUGCCCUGAGGAUAAUCAUCGUGAGGGGACCACAGCAGAAAUGGGAAAGCUGUUGUUCAAAUUCGUGUGUAAUUUCAAGAGGCCCUCAAAAGUCAAGACAGUAUUGAAAAAGAAGAACAAUAUUAAGGGUCAUACUUCACAAUUUCAAAAUCUACUACAAAGCUACAAUAAUCAAGACUGUGUUACUGGCAUAAAUAUGGACAUAUAGACCAGUGGAAUAGAAUUUAGAGUACAGAAAACAAUCCAAAUAUAAAUGAUGAAACAACCUAAUAUAUAUAAGUAGUAAAUAUAUAAUUUAAAUAUAUAAUUUAAAACUGUAAAACUCUUAAGAGAAAACUUAAGAGUAAAUCUUUAGAUUUAGGGGUGCCUGGGUAGCUCAGUCGUUAAGCAUCUGCCUUCAGCUCAGAUCAUGAUCCCAGGGUCCUGAGAUCGAGCCCCACAUCAGGCUCCCCGCUCCACGGGAAGCC